UACUUCUUCGGACAAUAUACAAGGUGCUGCAUGGUUGUCGUCAGCUCGUGCCGUGAGGUGUCGGGUUAAGUCCCAUAACGAGCGCAACCCCUAUCAUUAGUUGCCAUCAGGUCAAGCUGGGGACUCUAAUGAAACUGCCUACGCAAGUAGUGAGGAAGGUGGGGAUGACGUCAAAUCAGCACGGCCCUUACGUCCAGGGCUACACACGUGCUACAAUGGCCGAUACAGAGGGCAGCUACCUGGUGACAGGAUGCAAAUCUCCAAAGUCGGUCUCAGUUCGGAUCGGAGUUUGCAACCCGACUCCGUGAAGUUGGAUUCGCUAGUAAUCGCGCAUCAGCCAUGGCGCGGUGAAUACGUUCCCGGGCCUU
rnacentral:rRNA from 1 species